AUCCUGGCUCAGAUUGAACGCUGGCGGCAGGCCUAACACAUGCAAGUCGAGCGGUAACAGGAAUUAGCUUGCUAAUUCGCUGACGAGCGGCGGACGGGUGAGUAAUGCCUGGGAAUAUGCCUUAGUGUGGGGGAUAACUAUUGGAAACGAUAGCUAAUACCGCAUAAUGUCUUCGGACCAAAGAGGGGGACCUUCGGGCCUCUCGCGCUAAGAUUAGCCCAGGUGAGAUUAGCUAGUUGGUGAGGUAAGAGCUCACCAAGGCGACGAUCUCUAGCUGGUCUGAGAGGAUGAUCAGCCACACUGGAACUGAGACACGGUCCAGACUCCUACGGGAGGCAGCAGUGGGGAAUAUUGCACAAUGGGCGAAAGCCUGAUGCAGCCAUGCCGCGUGUAUGAAGAAGGCCUUCGGGUUGUAAAGUACUUUCAGUAGGGAGGAAGGCGUUGUCGUUAAUAGCGGCUUCGUUUGACGUUACCUACAGAAGAAGCACCGGCUAACUCCGUGCCAGCAGCCGCGGUAAUACGGAGGGUGCGAGCGUUAAUCGGAAUUACUGGGCGUAAAGCGCAUGCAGGUGGUUCAUUAAGUCAGAUGUGAAAGCCCGGGGCUCAACCUCGGAACCGCAUUUGAAACUGGUGAACUAGAGUGCUGUAGAGGGGGGUAGAAUUUCAGGUGUAGCGGU
rnacentral:rRNA from 1 species